UAUUUGUUGUUGGCAAGAUUACGGCGAAGCUGAAUCAAAUUUAAAAUGUUUCAGCUUCACUUUAUUUUGCCAAUAAAGGUAGC
ncrna:Schistosoma japonicum microRNA sja-mir-31 precursor